AUUGAACGCUGGCGGCAUGCUUUACACAUGCAAGUCGAACGGUAACAGGUUAAGCUGACGAGUGGCGAACGGGUGAGUAAUGCAUCGGAACGUGCCCGAUCGUGGGGGAUAACGCAGCGAAAGCUGCGCUAAUACCGCAUACGAUCUGAGGAUGAAAGCGGGGGACCGUAAGGCCUCGCGCGAUCGGAGCGGCCGAUGUCAGAUUAGGUAGUUGGUGGGGUAAAGGCCCACCAAGGCGACGAUCAGUAGCUGGUCUGAGAGGACGAUCAGCCACACUGGGACUGAGACACGGCCCAGACUCCUACGGGAGGCAGCAGUGGGGAAUUUUGGACAAUGGGGGCAACCCUGAUCCAGCCAUGCCGCGUGUGUGAAGAAGGCCUUAUGGUUGUAAAGCACUUUAAGCGAGGAGGAGGCUCUUUUGGUUAAUACCCAAGAUGAGUGGACGUUACUCGCAGAAUAAGCACCGGCUAACUCUGUGCCAGCAGCCGCCGUAA
rnacentral:rRNA from 1 species